rnacentral:piRNA from 1 species
UAGGAAAGGUGGACACCGAUAGGCAUAUC